rnacentral:rRNA from 1 species
UUGCGCAAUGGGCGAAAGCCUGACGCAGCGACGCCGCGUGGGGGAUGACGGCCUUCGGGUUGUAAACCUCUUUCAGCAGGGACGAAGCGAAAGUGACGGUACCUGCAGAAGAAGCACCGGCCAACUACGUGCCAGCAGCCGCGGUAAUACGUAGGGUGCAAGCGUUGUCCGGAAUUAUUGGGCGUAAAGAGCUCGUAGGCGGUUCGUCGCGUCGGCUGUGAAAUCCCGAGGCUCAACCUCGGGUCUGCAGUCGAUACGGGCGGACUUGAGUUCGGCAGGGGAGACUGGAAUUCCUGGUGUAGCGGUGAAAUGCGCAGAUAUCAGGAGGAACACCGGUGGCGAAGGCGGGUCUCUGGGCCGAAACUGACGCUGAGGAGCGAAAGCGUGGGGAUCGUUCAGGAUUAGAUACCCUGGUAGUCCACGCCGUAAACGUUGGGCGCUAGGUGUGGGGCUCAUUCCACGAGUUCCGUGCCGCAGCUAACGCAUUAAGCGCCCCGCCUGGGGAGUACGGCCGCAAGGCUAAAACUCAAAGGAAUUGACGGG